UCAGCUCCAGCUGUGAUGAGUG
rnacentral:miRNA from 2 species